rnacentral:lncRNA from 1 species
GAAUAUUCCCCAAUUCUCAGGGUUGAUUUUGUUGGAUGCUCCUCCUAUGAAUAUGUUGCUUAAUUUGGUGGGAGUUUUACAGCAUUCCAGAGAAUUGUCAUGCUUCUGAGGACAGUAGAAUGAUUCUUACUGCUUUCAGUAUUUUGACUUGAGUAAAAAGAAGUUGAGAUUCCAUUCCAUCUUUUCUACCACAAUGGCUACUAUUUCCCAGAUCUUGAAACUAAUCCUUACUCUGCAGGUGCAGAACUUCAGAUUUACUUGUGAUUGACAUUUGCAUAUGCUGUGAGGUA